GGAAUGUGGCUUAGUGGUAGAGUGCUUGCCUAGCAUGCAUGAGGCCCUGGGUUCAAUUCCUCAGUACCA
rfam:Dipodomys ordii contig_40946, whole genome shotgun sequence.